rnacentral:rRNA from 1 species
GAUGAACGCUGGCGGCGUGCCUAAUACAUGCAAGUCGAGCGAACAGACGAGGAGCUUGCUCCUCUGACGUUAGCGGCGGACGGGUGAGUAACACGUGGAUAACCUACCUAUAAGACUGGGAUAACUUCGGGAAACCGGAGCUAAUACCGGAUAAUAUAUUGAACCGCAUGGUUCAAGAGUGAAAGACGGUUUUGCUGUCACUUAUAGAUGGAUCCGCGCCGCAUUAACUAGUUGGUAAGGUAACGGCUUACCAAGGCAACGAUGCGUAGCCGACCUGAGAGGGUGAUCGGCCACACUGGAACUGAGAAACGGUCCAGACUCCUGCGGGAGGCCGCAGUAGGGAAUCUUCCGCAAAGGGCGAAAGCUUGACGGAGCAACGCCGCGUGAGUGAUGAAGGUCUUCGGAUCGUAAAACUCUGUUAUUAGGGAAGAACAAAUGUGUAAGUAACUAUGCACGUCUUGACGGUACCUAAUCAGAAAGCCACGGCUAACUACGUG